UUCCUCUUCUUGCUUUGUUUGUUCAGCUUCCGAGGGUUUAUUUGCAAUCUCUCCCGAUCUUUCGGGAUUUCCUUCUUUCUUUUCCCUUGCUGCAGGCACGGACGUAGGAGUUGCCCGGGCGGCCCUCGCCGUCGACGUCCCUUACGACGCCGAGCCUUCAGUCCUCCGAGCCCUUUCGAGAAGUUCUCCCAUCGGGGCUUCUGCCCCG
rnacentral:lncRNA from 1 species